rnacentral:sRNA from 1 species
UCCUUUCAACUGCACAUGGCUUCCCCCAGAUCCCCCGCCCGCCCUGGGCUCAUGCAUGCUGUCUUCAGCUGUAUGUUAUCUCAAAUAAUUACCCUCGCUUCUGGCUGUCCCUGGCGACUUCUGCUGCUAAAAAAGCUACUCAUUGUCGGAGACUGAAGAGGGAUUUCCAGCCUGCUUCUUGUGGCCGGGCAACGGCUCUUAAUUAACCACUCAGGUAUUGUGGGAGCUCCCAGCCCGGCUCGCUUCCAUAUGGCGCGAACAUGUCCGCAGUGAUAAGCACGGGAGGAAAUACUGUAUCAAAAGGGAGCUCGCACAACCGAAAGCUUGUGCAAAUUAUUUUUAAUGAUUCUUCUCUGAAAUGCAGACUGCCCAAUGGGAUGGAGUUUCCAGUGUGAUGUCAUUGGAAACAUUGCUCCUCAGAGCAGUGAAAUUAGCCCGAUAGAAAAAGAACACAGAGCCUCACUUUCCAAUCAGGAGCCUUGUUCGCAACAGCCACAAGGAAGCCACACAAAGACCCAUCAAUAUAUGAUCAAAACUGUCCUACGGGAAGAGGAUGGAAUAUUACUCAACCUUUAAAAGCAAGUAAAUUCUGAAACAGCCUACAACAUGGAUCAUGUCAGGUUAAUUCAAGGCUAUCACGACUGUCAUCAUAUGAAACCAGUGAGCAAAAGACAGCGACCUAAUGACUGCAUAGUAAAUGCCAGAGGAGUCCUUGAGGCAUCUGUGAUCUGAGAGAGGGAGAAAUCAGGCUGACAAAUACUGACUACACAGGAGGAGCUUCCCCAGGGGCAGUGAGUACUUCAUUUCCUUCGUAUAAACAAACAGACCUUUUCUCAAAACAAGGUGGCAGUGCUCACGUACCAGCCAAAUGGUGAGGUCACUGCCUUCGAGGCCCUGCCAGGCAGUGGAGGGGACCCGUUAGGCCAGAACAAUUUCCAAGGGGAGCAUGUGUGGUCAGUGGUUUCCCUUGGCCAUGCACACAGGCAGCUCCUCUUUUGGUAAAUCCACGAGGUCAAAUGAAUUUGGAGAGGCAGGCAGGAGCAGCUCAAGGUGAC